rnacentral:rRNA from 1 species
CGCUGGCGGCGUGCUUAACACAUGCAAGUCGAACGGGAGUAUUGAAGAAGCUUGCUUAGAGAUACUUAGUGGCGGACGGGUGAGUAACGCGUGAGGAGCUGUCCUAUGCAGGGGGACAACAGCUGGAAACGGCUGCUAAUACCCCAUAAGCCGAGAGGUAAAAGGAUCAAUCCGGCAGAGGAGGUACUCGCGUCCUAUCAGCUAGUAGGUGAGGUAACGGCUCACCUAGGCGAAGACGGGUAGCCGGCCUGAGAGGGCGAACGGCCACACUGGAACUGAGAUACGGUCCAGACUCCUACGGGAGGCAGCAGUGGGGAAUAUUGGGCAAUGGGGGAAACCCUGACCCAGCGACGCCGCGUGGGUGAAGAAAUCCUUCGGGAUGUAAAGCCCUGUUGUAUGGGAAGAGCGGAAGACGGUACCAUACGAGGAAGCCCCGGCAAACUACGUGCCAGCCGCAGC